CACUUUCAUUUUGUUCACCUCCACUUUGUGCACCUACUUCACCACCAUAACCUUGUGAGCCCUCUUCAACUUUUUUGCUUCGUUUUUUAAUUUUUCUAAAGCCAUUCCAGAUGGUCCAAGGUUUUCGUAUAUCGUACACAACUUUUAUUUUGAAGUCUUUUAUUGCACCAACUGCAAAUUAACAAACCAUUCUUAUUAAACAAAAUAAAGGUUAAACAAUUAUUUUGGUCCCUGAAUAUAUGAGGUGGUGUCAAUAUAGUCUCUGAAUGUAUGGAAAUUAUAAACACAUCUAUAAGUAUCUAAUUUUUAGUCAUCUAGGUCUCAAAUCUAUUUUUAGAUAGUUAAUUUUAUCUAGAAAUGUGAAUUUCCCUGAGCACUAUUGUAAAAGAAGAAAGAAAUAGUGUGUUGAAUAUAUAUAUAAAUUGAAUCUCAUAUUUAAAUACAUACAUACAUUGAAUCUCAUCUUUCCAUGGCUCAAUUGCCACAACCGAUAUAACAUUUAUUGCACAAACAAAGAAUACGAAGAUAUAAGGCUUGAUUUUCAUCCUUGAUCAACUAAGAUUAUAGUGUAGUGAAAUAUGAAUACAAUCAUUACCUAUUUAUAGUGAUCAUGACGGAAGGAUAUAAAAGAUGAAUAAAAAGAGUUUGAUUUUGAUCAUAAAAUAAAUAUUAUAUGAUAACAAAAAUAAUAUAUAUAUUAGUUGGCUACUUGGC
rnacentral:lncRNA from 1 species